CCUACGGGUGGCAGCAGUGGGGGAUAUUGCACAAUGGGGGAAACCCUGAUGCAGCGACGCCGCGUGGGUGAAGAAGUAUUUCGGUAUGUAAAGCCCUAUCAGCAGGGAAGAAAGAAGACGGUACCUGACUAAGAAGCCCCGGCUAACUACGUGCCAGCAGCCGCGGUAAUACUUAGGGGGCGAGCGUUAUCCGGAUUCACUGGGUGUAAAGGGAGCGUAGACGGCCGUGCAAUCCAGGAGUGAAAGCCCGGGGCCCAACCCAGGGAAUGCUAUUGAAACUGUACGGCUGGAGUGCAGGAGGGGCAGGCGGAAUUCCUGGUGUAGCGGUGAAAUGCGUAGAUAUAAGGAGGAACACCGGCGGCGAAGGCGGCCUGCUGGACCGAGACUGACGUUGAGGCUCGAAAGCGUGGGGAGCGAACAGGAUUAGAUACCCGAGUAGUC
rnacentral:rRNA from 1 species